GAUGAACGCUGGCGGCGUGCCUAAUACAUGCAAGUCGAGCGAACGGACGAGAAGCUUGCUUCUCUGAUGUUAGCGGCGGACGGGUGAGUAACACGUGGAUAACCUACCUAUAAGACUGGGAUAACUUCGGGAAACCGUAGCUAAUACCGGAUAAUAUUUUGAACCGCAUGGUUCAAAAGUGAAAGACGGUCUUGCUGUCACUUAUAGAUGGAUCCGCGCUGCAUUAGCUAGUUGGUAAGGUAACGGCUUACCAAGGCAACGAUGCAUAGCCGACCUGAGAGGGUGAUCGGCCACACUGGAACUGAGACACGGUCCAGACUCCUACGGGAGGCAGCAGUAGGGAAUCUUCCGCAAUGGGCGAAAGCCUGACGGAGCAACGCCGCGUGAGUGAUGAAGGCCUUCGGAUCGUAAAACUCUGUUAUUAAGGAAGAACAUAUGUGUAAGUAACUGUGCACAUCUUGACGGUACCUAAUCAGAAAGCCACGGCUAACUACGUG
rnacentral:rRNA from 1 species